rnacentral:rRNA from 1 species
GGGGAAUAUUGGACAAUGGGCGCAAGCCUGAUCCAGCCAUGCCGCGUGAGUGACGAAGGCCUUAGGGUUGUAAAGCUCUUUUGGCGGGGAAGAUAAUGACGGUACCCGCAGAAUAAGCUCCGGCUAACUUCGUGCCAGCAGCCGCGGUAAUACGAAGGGAGCUAGCGUUGUUCGGAAUCACUGGGCGUAAAGCGCACGUAGGCGGAUGUGUCAGUCAGGGGUGAAAUCCCGGAGCUCAACUUCGGAACUGCCCUUGAUACAGCACGUCUUGAGUCCGAGAGAGGUGGAUGGAAUUCCUAGUGUAGAGGUGAAAUUCGUAGAUAUUAGGAAGAACACCGGUGGCGAAGGCGGUCCACUGGCUCGGUACUGACGCUGAGGUGCGAAAGCGUGGGGAGCAAACAGGA